rnacentral:lncRNA from 1 species
CCACCUCAAAUAAAUUAUCCCGGGUUAGCUAACCCCACCUAAUCCCACCAAACUCCAACCAAACACUAGUUUCUAUUCAUAAUAACCUACUAUCUUUCUUAUCACACCUACUCCAACGAAUCAUUAUCCUUCUUUAUCAAUCAUUAUCUUCUUAUCCCACCUGCUCCAACCAAACACUAUUUUUCAUUAUUCUAGACUAACUCCAACCCCCAACCAAACACAAAAAAAUUUUAACCCCACUUUAACCCUGAACUUAACUCUAUCUCUGGAAUAGCUAUUUUUUCCUUAACCCCGAACCAAACGGAUUUAAAUUUUUUUUCUAAUCCAUCAUUGAUCAAAUCCUCUUUAUUUUUUCUGAUUUUUUAAAAGAGAAAGAUAGCAAGUUAUCUGCUUCAUUUAUUUUUUUAAAAAAUAAACUCAGCUAGAUAUAUAAAAUAAUUAGAAUCCAAAGUAGAGACUUUGAAUACCAAUCAUAAAGUCUUUAACCAACUGUACUAGAUACGAUCAAUCGUUUAACCAACUGUGCUAUAUAAUUUGUUUUGAUUCCACUCAAAGAAGGGAAUUAUACUCUUUUAGCAAAAGUAACAAGAGAGAGGGUGCGAUACAGCUAAUAUAAUGUUUUUAAAAGUUUAUGAAAAGACGUGACUCAACCAAGCUGAGCUGAAAAUUUUGUUGAAUUCGAUAACUUUUACAAUCGGCACAACAAAUCUUUAAACGGCUAUUACUUUGCGUUUGAGUAUCUGAUUUCAGUAUACAAUCUUAAUUCGAAAAAUACUUUUCAAGAUCUAUGUGUCGAAUCGAAGCCAUUCUAGUCAAGUUUGAAACCCAAA